GAGAAGCAGAAGCAACUAAAAAAUAACUUGAAUUAGAUUUCAGUUGUGAUGUAGCCAAUUGUUCUCCUCGCUGGCUUUCAUUCUCCUCAUCCUCC